GCUAAGGUCGGGCGAUACGAGGGGGUAAGACGUGGUGGGCGAGCGUGGUGCGGAAUUAGUGGGCGUAAAGGGUGCGUAGGCGGUGCGUUAAGUCUUGUGUGAAAUCUUCGGGCUCAACUCGAAGUCUGCACGAGAAACGGCCGGGCUUGAGUGUGGGAGAGGUGAGUGGAAUUUCCGGUGUAGCGGUGAAAUGCGUAGAUAUCGGAAGGAACACCUGUGGCGAAAGCGGCUCACUGGACCACAACUGACGCUGAGGCACGAAAGCUAGGGGAGCAAACAGGAUUAGAUACCCGUGUAGUC
rnacentral:rRNA from 1 species